GACGAACGCUGGCGGCGUGCUUAACACAUGCCAGUCGAACGGAAAGGCCCCAGCUUGCUGGGGUACUCGAGUGGCGAACGGGUGAGUAACACGUGGGUGAUCUGCCCUGCACUUCGGGAUAAGCCUGGGAAACUGGGGCUAAUACCGGAUAGGAGCGCCCUUUGGAGUGUGUGGUGGGAAGGGUUUUCGGGGGUGGGGUGGGAUCGCGGCCUAGACGGUUGUUGGGGGGGUAAGGGCCUACCAAGACGGCGACGGGUAGCCGGCCGGAGAGGGUGGACGGGCACAUUGGGACUGAGAUACGGCCCAGACGCCUACGGGGGGCAGCAGUGGGGAAUAUUGCACAAUGGGGGAGACCCUGAUGCAGCGACGCCGGGUGGGGGAUGAAGGCCUUCGGGUUGGAAACCCCUUUCGCUAGGGACGAAGCUUUUUGUGACGGUACCUGGAGAAGAAGCACCGGCUAACUACGUG
rnacentral:rRNA from 1 species